GAUGAACGCUGGCGGCGUGCCUAAUACAUGCAAGUCGAGCGAACAGACGAGGAGCUUGCUCCUUCGACGUUAGCGGCGGACGGGUGAGUAACACGUAGGUAACCUACCUAUAAGACUGGGAUAACUUCGGGAAACCGGAGCUAAUACCGGAUAAUAUUUCGAACCGCAUGGUUCGAUAGUGAAAGAUGGCUUUGCUAUCACUUAUAGAUGGACCUGCGCCGUAUUAGCUAGUUGGUAAGGUAACGGCUUACCAAGGCAACGAUACGUAGCCGACCUGAGAGGGUGAUCGGCCACACUGGAACUGAGACACGGUCCAGACUCCUACGGGAGGCAGCAGUAGGGAAUCUUCCGCAAUGGGCGAAAGCCGGACGGAGCAACGCCGCGGGAGUGAUGAAGGUCUUCGGAUCGUAAAACUCUGUUAUUAGGGAAGAACAAACGUGUAAGUAACUGUGCACGUCUUGACGGUACCUAAUCAGAAAGCCGCGGCUAACUACGU
rnacentral:rRNA from 1 species